GCUUCGACGGGGAUAAAGAAGCUUAGGUUGCGUACCGAGGUUCUGUUUGCUCGUUAAACAGGCAGAAAAAAAAUAAACGCAGACGAUUAUGCGUAUGCAUUAGCCGCUUAAAGGCUAACGUCCAGCCGACCUUUCCUGCGAGGAUGGAUUUGGGCGUCGACUAGCAGGAUAGCUAACCUGAGAGACCUGAAUUUCAGGAAGGCGAAAAUUUUUUCAGGUUAGUCCCUUAUUCACCUUGCCCGAAAGGGGUCUCAGGGGCGAACAUUAAAGUUCGGGCUAUGUAUGUAGAGGCUUAAGUGGAAUAUUUUCGGACGGGGGUUCGACUCCCCCCGCCUCCACCA
rnacentral:tmRNA from 1 species